GGAGGGGUGUAAGCGUUAUUCGGAAUUAUUGGGCGUAAAGAGCGCGUAGGCGGUUUUUUAAGUCAGAUGUGAAAGCCCGAGGCUUAACCUCGGAAGUGCAUUUGAAACUAAGAGACUUGAGUAUGGGAGAGGGAGUGGAAUUCCUGGUGUAGAGGUGAAAUUCGUAGAUAUCAGGAGGAACACCGGUGGCGAAGGCGACUUCCUGGACCAAUACUGACGCUGAGGCGCGAAGGCGUGGGGAGCAAACAGGAUUAGAUGCCCUGGUAGUCCACGCAGUAAACGGUGAACACUAGGUGUAGCGGGUAUUGACCCCUGCUGUGCCGAAGUUAACGCAUUAAGUGUUCCGCCUGGGGAGUACGACCGCAAGGUUA
rnacentral:rRNA from 1 species